rnacentral:rRNA from 1 species
UAACGCGAAGAACCUUACCAAGGCUUGACAUAUACGAGAACGGGCCAGAAAUGGUCAACUCUUUGGACACUCGUAAACAGGUGGUGCAUGGUUGUCGUCAGCUCGUGUCGUGAGAUGUUGGGUUAAGUCCCGCAACGAGCGCAACCCUCGUUCUAUGUUGCCAGCACGUAAUGGUGGGAACUCAUGGGAUACUGCCGGGGUCAACUCGGAGGAAGGUGGGGAUGACGUCAAAUCAUCAUGCCCCUUAUGUCUUGGGCUUCACGCAUGCUACAAUGGCCGGUACAAAGGGCUGCAAUACCGCGAGGUGGAGCGAAUCCCAAAAAGCCGGUCCCAGUUCGGAUUGAGGUCUGCAACUCGACCUCAUGAAGUCGGAGUCGCUAGUAAUCGCAGAUCAGCAACGCUGCGGAA